CCACAUUUUUCCAGUCCAGUCUAUCAUUGAUGGGCAUUUGGGUUGGUUCCAGGUCUUUGCUAUUGUAAACAGUGCUGCAAUGAACAUUCGUGUGCAUGUGUCCUUGUAAUAGAACGAUUUAUAUUCACCUCUCAGCAAUGGGAGUGUACCUCAGUAGGGUCCAAUUGGCUUGGUAAUGGCAGACGCCCCUCCCCCACUUAGCUACACCAUUUUGGGUUCAGCUGUGCCCAAGUGAAACUCUCAACCCUGAGCAUUUUCAAAUUUCCGUUUUGUUUGUCCCCGUGGGGGUGAAACCCGCUGACCCUGAUCGCCUGGCUCCCUGCCUCUGAGCACUUUUUUUUUUAAGUUGAAUGGUUGACUCUUUCCCAGGUGUUUUAGUUGCCUGCUGAAAGGGCACCGGGAUCUGUGUGAUUUCCCAUGAAGUGACCCACUGUGCUGGCUCAAACGCCACUUCCCAGGAAUCUCCUGGUCUGGCUCACUGUCUAAGUCCCAUUUAGUCAGAUGGAUAUGCUAAUCUGUUCUUUCAAAUCUCAGAUUGCCAGUUUAACAGGGCACUUGGACCAGUGCGUUUUGUGUGGAGUGUGCGGAGUGCUGCUGUGCUGUGGCCCCGGUUGAAGCGGCCCCGCCAGCCGAAACAGCUGCGCUGGCGUCCCAUGUCUCUCCUACACCUGGCUGGAGUGAAGUGGCACCAUCUUAGCUCACUGCAACCUCUGCCUCUCAGAUUCAGGCCAUCCUCCCUAGGGACUGGAGGUGAGUGCCACCACACCUGGCUAAUUUUUGUAUUUUGAGUAGUGAUGGGGUCUCCAGCUUCAGACCUAAAGUGAUCUAUCUGCCUCAGCCUCACAAAGUUCUGAGGUUACAGGUGUGAGCCACCGUGUCUGGUUAGCUCUUGACUUUUGGUAGCUGUUGUAUUAUUUUAAUCUUUAGUAAAUAAAUGCAAUCUGAAAUGUAUAGUUCA
rnacentral:lncRNA from 13 species